rnacentral:rRNA from 1 species
GAGUUUGAUCGUGGCUCAGAGUGAACGCUGGCGGCAGGCCUAACACAUGCAAGUCGAACGGUAACAGGUCCUUCGGGAUGCUGACGAGUGGCGGACGGGUGAGGAAUGCAUCAGAAUCUGCCUGAUUGUGGGGGAUAACGCAUGGAAACGUGCGCUAAUACCGCAUACGUCCUUUUGUCGGGAGAUGAUUGGAGAAAGUGGGGGACCUUCGGGCCUCACGCGAACAGAUGAGCCGAUGUCGGAUUAGCUGGUUGGUGGGGUAAAGGCCUACCAAGGCGACGAUCCGUAGCUGGUCUGAGAGGAUGAUCAGCCACACUGGAACUGAGACACGGUCCAGACUCCUACAGGAGGCAGCAGUGGGGAAUAUUGGACAAUGGGGGCAACCCUGAUCCAGCCAUGCCGCGUGUGUGAAGAAGGCCCUUGGGUUGUAGAGCACUUUUGUUGGGGAAGAAAAACAACGGGUUAAUACCCCGUUGGUAUGA